rnacentral:rRNA from 1 species
UUAAGUUAUUAAGGGCGCACGGUGGAUGCCUUGGCACUAGAAGCCGAUGAAGGACGUUACUAACGACGAUAUGCUUUGGGGAGCUGUAAGUAAGCUUUGAUCCAGAGAUUUCCGAAUGGGGAAACCCAGCAUGAGUUAUGUCAUGUUAUCGAUAUGUGAAUACAUAGCAUAUCAGAAGGCACACCCGGAGAACUGAAACAUCUUAGUACCCGGAGGAAGAGAAAGAAAAUUCGAUUCCCUUAGUAGCGGCGAGCGAAACGGGAAGAGCCCAAACCAACAAGCUUGCUUGUUGGGGUUGUAGGACACUCUAUACGGAGUUACAAAGGACGACAUUAGACGAAUCAUCUGGAAAGAUGAAUCAAAGAAGGUAAUAAUCCUGUAGUCGAAAAUGUUGUCUCUCUUGAGUGGAUCCUGAGUACGACGGAGCACGUGAAAUUCCGUCGGAAUCUGGGAGGACCAUCUCCUAAGGCUAAAUACUCUCUAGUGACCGAUAGUGAACCAGUACCGUGAGGGAAAGGUGAAAAGCACCCCGGAAGGGGAGUGAAAUAGAACCUGAAACCGUGUGCUUACAAGUAGUCAGAGCCCGUUAAUGGGUGAUGGCGUGCCUUUUGUAGAAUGAACCGGCGAGUUACGAUUUGAUGCAAGGUUAAGCAGUAAAUGUGGAGCCGUAGCGAAAGCGAGUCUGAAUAGGGCGUUUAGUAUUUGGUCGUAGACCCGAAACCAGGUGAUCUACCCUUGGUCAGGUUGAAGUUCAGGUAACACUGAAUGGAGGACCGAACCGACUUACGUUGAAAAGUGAGCGGAUGAACUGAGGGUAGCGGAGAAAUUCCAAUCGAACCUGGAGAUAGCUGGUUCUCUCCGAAAUAGCUUUAGGGCUAGCCUCAAGUGAUGAUUAUUGGAGGUAGAGCACUGUUUGGACGAGGGGCCCCUCUCGGGUUACCGAAUUCAGACAAACUCCGAAUGCCAAUUAAUUUAACUUGGGAGUCAGAACAUGGGUGAUAAGGUCCGUGUUCGAAAGGGAAACAGCCCAGACCACCAGCUAAGGUCCCAAAAUAUAUGUUAAGUGGAAAAGGAUGUGGCGUUGCCCAGACAACUAGGAUGUUGGCUUAGAAGCAGCCAUCAUUUAAAGAGUGCGUAAUAGCUCACUAGUCGAGUGACACUGCGCCGAAAAUGUACCGGGGCUAAACAUAUUACCGAAGCUGUGGAUUGUCCUUUGGACAAUGGUAGGAGAGCGUUCUAAGGGCGUUGAAGCAUGAUCGUAAGGACAUGUGGAGCGCUUAGAAGUGAGAAUGCCGGUGUGAGUAGCGAAAGACGGGUGAGAAUCCCGUCCACCGAUUGACUAAGGUUUCCAGAGGAAGGCUCGUCCGCUCUGGGUUAGUCGGGUCCUAAGCUGAGGCCGACAGGCGUAGGCGAUGGAUAACAGGUUGAUAUUCCUGUACCACCUAUAAUCGUUUUAAUCGAUGGGGGGACGCAGUAGGAUAGGCGAAGCGUGCGAUUGGAUUGCACGUCUAAGCAGUAAGGCUGAGUAUUAGGCAAAUCCGGUACUCAUUAAGGCUGAGCUGUGAUGGGGAGAAGACAUUGUGUCUUCGAGUCGUUGAUUUCACACUGCCGAGAAAAGCCUCUAGAUAGAAAAUAGGUGCCCGUACCGCAAACCGACACAGGUAGUCAAGAUGAGAAUUCUAAGGUGAGCGAGCGAACUCUCGUUAAGGAACUCGGCAAAAUGACCCCGUAACUUCGGGAGAAGGGGUGCUCUUUAGGGUUAACGCCCAGAAGAGCCGCAGUGAAUAGGCCCAAGCGACUGUUUAUCAAAAACACAGGUCUCUGCUAAACCGUAAGGUGAUGUAUAGGGGCUGACGCCUGCCCGGUGCUGGAAGGUUAAGAGGAGUGGUUAGCUUCUGCGAAGCUACGAAUCGAAGCCCCAGUAAACGGCGGCCGUAACUAUAACGGUCCUAAGGUAGCGAAAUUCCUUGUCGGGUAAGUUCCGACCCGCACGAAAGGCGUAACGAUUUGGGCACUGUCUCAACGAGAGACUCGGUGAAAUCAUAGUACCUGUGAAGAUGCAGGUUACCCGCGACAGGACGGAAAGACCCCGUGGAGCUUUACUGUAGCCUGAUAUUGAAAUUCGGCACAGCUUGUACAGGAUAGGUAGGAGCCUUUGAAACGUGAGCGCUAGCUUACGUGGAGGCGCUGGUGGGAUACUACCCUAGCUGUGUUGGCUUUCUAACCCGCACCACUUAUCGUGGUGGGAGACAGUGUCAGGCGGGCAGUUUGACUGGGGCGGUCGCCUCCUAAAAGGUAACGGAGGCGCUCAAAGGUUCCCUCAGAAUGGUUGGAAAUCAUUCAUAGAGUGUAAAGGCAUAAGGGAGCUUGACUGCGAGACCUACAAGUCGAGCAGGGUCGAAAGACGGACUUAGUGAUCCGGUGGUUCCGCAUGGAAGGGCCAUCGCUCAACGGAUAAAAGCUACCCCGGGGAUAACAGGCUUAUCUCCCCCAAGAGUUCACAUCGACGGGGAGGUUUGGCACCUCGAUGUCGGCUCAUCGCAUCCUGGGGCUGUAGUCGGUCCCAAGGGUUGGGCUGUUCGCCCAUUAAAGCGGUACGCGAGCUGGGUUCAGAACGUCGUGAGACAGUUCGGUCCCUAUCCGUCGUGGGCGUAGGAAAUUUGAGAGGAGCUGUCCUUAGUACGAGAGGACCGGGAUGGACAUACCUCUGGUGUACCAGUUGUCGUGCCAACGGCAUAGCUGGGUAGCUAUGUGUGGACGGGAUAAGUGCUGAAAGCAUCUAAGCAUGAAGCCCCCCUCAAGAUGAGAUUUCCCAACUUCGGUUAUAAGAUCCCUCAAAGAUGAUGAGGUUAAUAGGUUCGAGGUGGAAG